CCCAGUGUGGGAAAUAAAUGUGGCCUAAGGGUAUGGGUCUACAGAAAGGCGAAUCAACCCAGUGGUGAUGUGGUCCAGCAAAGGAGAGGGUGCUCAGUGAAAAAUCCAGGGCACGAGGCAAUGACCAGCAGCACAGCAUAUUAGGGCUGCAACUGUCAAGAACAUAGGGAGAUGACUCAAAAUCAAAGCAAUAAAAUAAACAAACAAAUAGAGAAAUAAGUGAAUAAGUGCCUAUAGAAGAGGCAGGAGUUUCAACUUCAGAAGAGCCUUGGGUAAGAAAAAGCAUAAACGGUGCCCUAUAUCUCUCCAAUCUGGAGAUGUCUUGGAAAUACUUUGAAAUCUGUUCCCCCAGGUUUGUUUUUCUUCUCCAUCACACCUCACAAGGAACACAGAGAGUGAUGUCCUGUCACUUUGAUGCGUCUCUCUACUCAAAUGGCAGAAACCAACCAGGAAAAUGAAUACAUUCAUGAAUGGGAUGCAUUUGGGAAGUAAUCAUGAAAAAAAGGAAUAAUCAUGGUUGAAGAGACGUAUCCCAAUGGAGCAGAGAGAAUUUCAGAAUUUAGGAAUCUGUCUUCAAUGAGCUUCCAGAGGAAGAUACAUAUCCAAAUACUAUUCAGGUAUUAAAAGAGUUGUGACCAACUUAUUCCUAAUGGCUCUCAUAGGAAAAGUGGCUGGACACCCAACAAGCUUGCAGUUUACUUCAUUAACAGUUAUUGAUUAACCACAAUGUACUGCAUUUGAUGCUAUUAGAGAAAUAUUAAUGAUCUAUUAAAUGGGAUACAUUUGAAUGGAAGGGACCUUGGGGACAAUCAUCAAUGAGUCAAAGCAGUGAUCAGGAGCUCAAUACAAUGGCUACGGGAGAUGCCAAGGAAAGUAAUCGGGUAAGGGCCAGGUUAGUCAGAAAGGGAAGAUUUCUGAAGAAUAUUCAUUUUGAUUCAGAUUCUAAGUGACACUUUGGCCUGAUUGGUGGGAAAGUUAGGAGAUGCCUUUCCAAUAAGGUGACUGAUUUGGGUUUGGUGUCAUUUCAGCCUUGUGGAGAGAUAGCCAACAUACUGAUUUGAUUAGAACAGAAGAACUUACCUGAUGCUCAGUAAAUAUUUGAGAAUCAAUGACUUUUACCUUCCUGUUUUCCCAGGAGAAUAUGCAGGCAACCCAUUAAGGGGAUAUGACUCAACACUUUACAAUGAUUUAAUUCAAUUAUAGACAAGGUACGCCCAUUUGGUUCAGUCCUUCAUGAAUUUUAUGUCAAUCCAACUCUGUUCAUGUGUAUUAUCUGUUUGACUAUGACUUUGUAUGAUUGCUGGUUUGGGCAGCAUGUACAGAACACAUAUUAAAUUUACCUGGAUGAUAAUAAUUGUAGAUAUUGAGACCACAAUGUAAUUUUCAAAGAAAACAAAA
rnacentral:lncRNA from 1 species